rnacentral:rRNA from 1 species
CAAGUAAAGUGGCGCACGGGUGAGUAACACGUGACUAACCUACCCUGGAGUGGGGGAUAACUGAGGGAAACCUUAGCUAAUACCGCAUAACACCUACGGGUCAAAGGAGCAAUUCGCUUCAGGAGGGGGUCGCGGCCGAUUAGUUAGUUGGCGGGGUAAUGGCCCACCAAGACAGUGAUCGGUAUCCGGCCUGAGAGGGCGCACGGACACACUGGAACUGAAACACGGUCCAGACUCCUACGGGAGGCAGCAGUGGGGAAUUUUGCGCAAUGGGGGAAACCCUGACGCAGCAACGCCGCGUGGAGGAUGAAGUACUUCGGUACGUAAACUCCUUUCGAUCGGGACGAUAAUGACGGUACCGGAAGAAGAAGCCCCGGCUAACUUCGUGCCAGCAGCCGCGGUAAUACGAGGGGGGCAAGCGUUGUUCGGAAUUAUUGGGCGUAAAGGGUGCGUAGGCGGUUUGGUAAGUCAGGGGUGAAAUCCUGGAGCUCAACUCCAGAACUGCCUUUGAUACUGGAAGUCUUGAGUCCGGGAGAGGUGAGUGGAACUGCGAGUGUAGAGGUGAAAUUCGUAGAUUUCGCAAGAACACCAGUUGGCGAAGGGCGGUCACUGGGCCCGGAAACUGACGCUGGAGACGCGAAAGCGUGGGGAGCAAACAGGGAUUAAGAUACCCUGGUAGUCAACGCUGUAAACG